AGCCAGGAACAAUGUGUGCCUCAGCUCACUCACAGCAGCAGUCUGCAGCAGUGGGCCAGGAGAAGUGGAGCAGGACAAGACCCUGCUUUUUGCAGAACUGCAGUUUCCCAGCCCAGGAUCAUCAGAUUCCCAGCACCCGGGCUGACCUCCUGGACUUCUCAGUAGUUAAACUAAUCCCUUGCCGGAGCUCAGCCUGUAAUGCAGCCUCCAAUUCCAGUCAUCCCUGCCAGUCAUACCAUACCAGAGAGAAAGGAACUCUGUUGAGAAUCCAGUUUUGGUAAUUUUGUGAUCCUAUGCUAAGUGGACAUAAUACCAGACAAGCCUGCUCCUUCCAUCUCUGGACAAAAACAAAGACUUAGUAGUUACAGCACAAUGAUACUACACAUAAGCAGCAACAGCAACAACAACAACAAAAGUUAUUCUCAUUAAAGUAAUAUUUAAGGCAUGAGAAAAUGAUAAAAUCCUCAACACUGGGACAGAACACCAAAGGCUCACAGAAAUUAUUUUUUGCCACCCUUCAGUUCCUAAAGGCCUUUGGACUCCUACCAUUUUGCUUAUAAAUCUUCACCUCCACUUAUCAAACAAGAUGGAUCUAGCCUAUGGAGUAAGCAAUUGCUCAGAACUCUUUCUGCCUCUAAAGCUGUAACACCUAAAAAGCUGUCAUCAACGCUUGUCACCAAAUAUUCACUACACUCAGAGCUAGAAAUACAUUCAGCCUUAACAAGGGCCAGCAGCAGUUUGGGAACAUUUCUCUUGGCACAAAAGCACUUUUCCCCAGCAGCUGCACAACCCGUGGUGUCAAAUAGUUUUUCCAGGCCCCAUGUUGAAGCCUGAAAAUACAAUUCUGUUUUCCAUUAGUUUUGGUGCAUUGCUCCACCGUGCAGUGUUUCAGCCCUGCCUGCAGGAAGGUUGUGAGCAAGAGAUUUCAGUAAAAUUAAGACUUAAAGCCCGAGGGGUGAAGCAUAUAGCUAAAGGAUGUGACAAGAGAAUUAUAUACUCAAUAAAGAGAAA